UACGUAGGGGGCAAGCGUUAUCCGGAUUUACUGGGUGUAAAGGGAGCGUAGACGGACUGGCAAGUCUGAUGUGAAAGACGGGGGCUCAACCCCUGGACUGCAUUGGAAACUGUUAGUCUUGAGUGCCGGAGAGGUAAGCGGAAUUCCUAGUGUAGCGGUGAAAUGCGUAGAUAUUAGGAGGAACACCAGUGGCGAAGGCGGCUUACUGGACGGUAACUGACGUUGAGGCUCGAAAGCGUGGGGAGCAAACAGG
rnacentral:rRNA from 1 species